GGAUGCGCGACUCUCGCGCGUCCCCUGAUGUUUUUCCCGCAUAGCGCAUCCCCUGAUAUGCUGUUUUCCCGCACGGCUCGCGUGGCCUGGCGCCCGCGGCGUGGUACAGGCGCAGUCCGAGAGAUGGCGCUAGUGUUGCGCGGCUGCGGGGUUACCCUCGGCGGGAGAGACAAGGCGCGCUCUCUUGGGUUGGAGACAGCAAGCAGCACGGACGUGCCGUGCCGCGGGUGGAGCGACCCUCUUUCCCGGCGGGUCGGCGAACAGCGCCGGACGUACUGCGCGCGCGCGCCAAUCCAUGGUUCGGCGAGACCGUCUCGCGUCGCCGCCUUGGACACCGUUGGCGUGACUGUACACGCGAACGACCAGGCGUUGGGAUCCAGCAUGGGGCGAACAUAUUCGCUCGCUUUGCGGUCGUGGUGAGUCGGACUUCUAGAUUUGUCGCGCGCCCAUCGGCAUGUUUUGGGGAUAGCAACUCGGCUAGCAGGCAUUGAUCUAUGAAAGGUGCAAUAAAUGCCCUUGUGACUGUUUGCA